rnacentral:rRNA from 1 species
CGCUAGUAAUCGCGGAUCAGAAUGCCGCGGUGAAUACGUUCCCGGGUCUUGUACACACCGCCCGUCACACCAUGGGAGUCGGAAAUGCCCGAAGUCUGUGACCUAACCGUAAGGAAGGAGCAGCCGAAGGCAGGUCGGAUGACUGGGGUGAAGUCGUAACAAGGUAAC